rnacentral:rRNA from 1 species
UACGUAGGUGGCGAGCGUUGUCCGGAAUUACUGGGUGUAAAGGGCGCGUAGGCGGGACUAUAAGUCUGAUGUGAAAUACUCCGGCUCAACCGGGGGGCUGCAUUGGAAACUAUAGUUCUUGAGUGACGGAGAGGUAAGCGGAAUUCCCAGUGUAGCGGUGGAAUGCGUAGAUAUCAGGAGGAACACCGGUGGCGAAGGCGGUUCUCUGGGCAUUACCUGACGCUGAGGAGCGAAAGUGUGGGGAGCGAACAGG